GUCCAUAUUUGCUGGAGGACUUGCCGGCCACCCAGGUCUAUGGAUGCAUCUACUUUUAAGUUAAAGAAAAUGACAAUUUCUUUCUUACAAGGCUCACAUUUAUAGUUGCUUUUUUCUAAGCUUCAAGCAAUCUAACCAAGGUUUUAUUUGUAAUUUUAUUCAACUUGUCUUAGACAUUAUAUUAUGAAGAAAAUAGAAGGCAGAAAAUUAAUAUUUGUUGAGAGUGUAGACUGGUGCCCUGGCAAAAUCGAAAAAAUUCAUAUAUAUAUAUGAACAUAUAAUCUGCCUCUCCAACAAGACCAAAGCAACCUGUGUUUUGUGCAAUGGAGUUGUGGACAAUUCCCAGAAAAUUUCUGGUGAUGGAUGCUGUGGUAGUAAUUGGUGUUUUGCUAUUUCUUUGUACAAGUGGAGUUGAUAGCAGAAUAAGUACUGAAUUGGAAUAUCUAGCUAUAAGUUGCAGAGCUCAUGAGGCAUCAUUGGUAGAUUUUGGAGGGGUUUGUGAUGGAGAAACUUCGAACACUAAAGUUUUUCAAGCAGCAAUUGAUCAUCUGAGCCAGUUCUCAUCAGAUGGUGGAUCCCAACUCUAUGUUCCCCCAGGAAGAUGGUUGACUGGAAGUUUCAAUCUCACUAGCCAUUUUACUCUCUAUCUUGACAAGGAUGCGGUUCUCCUUGCCUCUCAGGUCAGAAAAAGUUCUCAACAAAUGGUUUAAAGUUAGUUCAUGUCUUUUCAGCCUCUCAGGAUAAAAGUUGUUGCCUUCAAGACAUGAAGAAAGAAGUCUUUUUCUGUUCAUUAAUUUUUGCUUAGGAAGAUUGUAGUCGGGAUCUAAACUUCUGAAAAUCUGAAAAAUACUAGCAUCAUCAGUUCUUAACGAUCCAAUAUCCCCAUUUUCACUUUAGGUAACCCCAAGAAUUUCACUUCAGUGCUUGAAAUUUAAAUUACAGAACAGCCCAGUAUAAGUUGUGUGAUGGAGAAUUAGGUUCUGUUUAUGAUAUAGGGGCCAACCUCAAAGUCUAGUAUAGGCAGUGAUCAAUAGACAGAAAACUUCAGGCAUAAACGUUAUGGACCAGUAGUGAAAAGUGCAGCUUGAAAAGGUCUAAGUAACAGACAAAAGGAACAGUGCUCACGGGCUAAACAGUUGAAAUGUCAAGGACUGUAGGCCGCAAAAAUGUGUAUUCUACACUGCCCUUAAAUCAAGUAUGGAUCUCAUUUGAAAAUGACCUAAAAGAUAAAGAAAAGUAGUGGGUUUUAUUAAUUGACAUUCUGGUAUUGCAAUAUAAAGGAAAGUUUCCCAAUUUACAGUGGAGAAUAUGCCAUUGCAACUGCUAACAUUUCUUGAUUAUAAAGUAAUGAUAAAAAUAAUACCUAAUUAUGUGAUUACACGUCCUGUAUUUUGGAAAUUCGAUUAGGAUGAGAGUGAAUGGCCUGUGAUUGAACCACUGCCGUCCUACGGUAGAGGAAGGGAUGCAGACGGUGGAAGGUAUAGCAGUCUCAUUUUCGGAACCAACCUUACUGAUGUUGUAAUAACAGGUAUAAUCUCCUAGUAAAUUUAAUUGGACUGUCAAAAAUAUCAAGAAAUGAAUUACGUAGUCUUAUUUAAUUGGGACAUUAUGGCUUUAAGGUGCCAAUGCCACAAUUGAUGGUCAGGGCGAUCUCUGGUGGAAAAAAUUCCGCAAUGGAGAAUUGAAAUACACCAGGCCUUACCUGAUAGAAAUCAUGUAUUCCAAUAGCAUUCAGAUAUCCAACCUUACAUUGGUGAACUCUCCUUCAUGGAAUGUUCACCCUGUUUAUAGCAGGUACCUUUAUUGUCCCUACUGUACUAUGCUUCAUUCUUUUGGAUUUGUUCUGAUCAAAUGGAUAUUGAAUGCAGCAAUGUUUUUGCACAAGGCUUAACAAUUCUUGCACCAGUGACUUCUCCAAAUACUGAUGGGAUCAAUCCAGGUGAAUGUUAUUCUCAAUUCUCAAAACAGUUUUUCAUUCUUGCAGCUGUGUUUGUUUUGCUUUCAACCAAUGCCAAUGUUGUGAAAAUUUGUUAACUUACACUUAAUGGGUUGAUUAUGGAUUCUGCAACUUCUGCAGACUCGUGCACAAACACCAGAAUUGAGGACUGUUACAUUGUCUCUGGAGAUGAUUGUGUGGCUGUUAAGAGCGGCUGGGAUGAGUAUGGUAUUGCGUUUGGGAUGCCUACCAAGCAGCUUGUAAUCAGAAGGCUCACUUGCAUUUCUCCAUUCAGUGCAGCAAUUGCACUGGGAAGUGAGAUGUCAGGGGGCAUUCAAGAUGUCAGGGCAGAAGAUAUCACAGCUAUUGAUACAGAAUCAGGUGUUAGGAUCAAAACUUCUGUGGGAAGAGGAGGUUAUGUAAAGGAGAUAUAUGUGAGAAGGAUGACAAUGAAAACAAUGAAAUGGGUGUUUUGGAUGACAGGAAAUUAUGGCUCUCAUCCUGACAAUAACUAUGAUCCUAAUGCAAUUCCUGAGAUUAAAAAUAUCAACUAUCAUGACAUGGUUGCCGAGAAUGUAACAAUGGCAGCUAGACUGGAGGGCAUUGCUGGUGACCCGUUCACUGGAAUCUGCAUAUCUAAUGUCACCAUUGGGCUCACACAAAAACCAAAGAAGCUUCAAUGGAAUUGCACUGAAAUUGCAGGGAUUUCGAGUGGUGUGACACCAAAACCAUGUGAUCUGCUCCCAGACCAGGGGCCAGGGGACAUUGCAUCGUGCAAUUUUCCUGAAGAUAGCCUGCCAAUAGAGAGUAUUGAGGUAAAGAUGUGCUCUUCCAGUAGAAGGAAUUUGUGACUGGGAACUAAGUUUCUGUACAGGGCAACAUAUUCUCUGUAUGUACUAUUAACAAUUUAGUGUGAACUUAGUCCACACAGUAUACGAGACCAUUACAAUGAUCUCAAGAUAUACCCACAAAUCUCCAUUAGAAUAAAGAAAGAUAGUUGCUUAGUUCACAACAUUAAAACAUAUGGAAAACUAUAAUCAAGCACGAAGGUUAGAUUGUUUUUCUUUGGAAUAUCUCUAUCAUCGCAUAUGAGAUUGUUGUUUGAGUUCCCCAAAUUCUUAACAGCCAAUUUUCCCAAAAACCAGCAAUGCAUCUCCAUUUUCCAUAAUAUACUUCCGAUGGAUACUCUCUCACUUAAAAAAAAAAAAGUGAGUUCUGAGUGAAUCCUACAUAGUUAUCAAUGAGAACUAGGUUUUUGUUCAGCGGCACUGAAUUCAUCUCCAAGGAUUGGAAUUCUAAUCGAAGG
rnacentral:misc_RNA from 1 species